rnacentral:rRNA from 1 species
UACGUAUGGUGCAAGCGUUAUCCGGAUUUACUGGGUGUAAAGGGAGCGCAGGCGGUGCGGCAAGUCUGAUGUGAAAGCCCGGGGCUCAACCCUGGUACUGCAUUGGAAACUGUCGUACUAGAGUGUCGGAGGGGUAAGUGGAAUUCCUAGUGUAGCGGUGAAAUGCGUAGAUAUUAGGAGGAACACCAGUGGCGAAGGCGGCUUACUGGACGAUAACUGACGCUGAGGCUCGAAAGCGUGGGGAGCAAACAGG